UACGGAGGGGGCUAGCGUUGUUCGGAAUUACUGGGCGUAAAGCGCAUGUAGGCGGCUUUGUAAGUUAGAGGUGAAAGCCCGGGGCUCAACUCCGGAACUGCCUUUAAGACUGCAUCGCUUGAAUCAUGGAGAGGUCAGUGGAAUUCCGAGUGUAGAGGUGAAAUUCGUAGAUAUUCGGAAGAACACCAGUGGCGAAGGCGACUGACUGGACAUGUAUUGACGCUGAGGUGCGAAAGCGUGGGGAGCAAACAGG
rnacentral:rRNA from 1 species